rnacentral:rRNA from 1 species
AGAGAGAGACAUGCGCGCAUAUCAAUAAGCGGAGGAAAAGAAACUAACAAGGAUUCCCUUAGUAACGGCGAGUGAAGCGGGAAGAGCUCAAAUUUGAAAUCUUCAAGGUUUUACCUUGACGAAUUGUAGUUUAAAGAAGUGUUUUCUGCUGAAGUUUUGGUAAAAGUUCUUUGGAAUAGGACAUCAUAGAGGGUGAGAAUCCCGUAUUUGACCAUUAUUUUCAGCUUUGUGAUACACUUUCAAAGAGUCGGAUUGUUUGGGAAUGCAGUCCAAAAUGGGUGGUAAAUUUCAUCUAAAGCUAAACAUUGGCGAGAGACCGAUAGCGAACAAGUACCGUGAGGGAAAGAUGAAAAGAACUUUGAAAAGAGAGUUAAACAGUACGUGAAAUUGUCAAAAGGGAAGCGUUUGACACCAGUGUUGUUUUCUCGAAAAUCAAUUAAAAUGGCUCGAUUUGUAGUUGCUGAGACCUUAAAAGCUCACUGUACUAGUUUUCGUGUCUUUUUGAAUGCACUUUUCGUUUAACAAGUCAACAUCAAUUUCUUUUGUUGUAAAAGGGUCAGCGGAAGGUGGCUUUCAGUUUCGGAUGAAAGUGUUUAUAGCCUUUGGCCUCUGCAGUCGAGAGAGACUGAGGUCUGCAGCGUAGACUCUUCGGGGUUAGAUACAUUUGUGCUAAGUUAUAGCUUUUUAUAGACAACUUGUUGACUAUGAUUAGUCUUGUAGCUUACUCGCUUAUGCUAUUUUACCUACGCUUAGGAUGUUGAUUCGUAGAGCACGCAG